UAUGGUGAGUGAAGGACAGUUUGUAUGUUUCUUCAUUCGGGAAGAAAAGUGAGGUAUAUCAAAAUCAAAGGCAGAGAUAUCGUUUCAGUCGUCACUUCUCUUGAUUGACGAUUCGAUUGUUGCUCUUCCAGAU